AGCCGAAGUCAAGAGUUGGACGCUUAACUGACUGAGCUACCCAGGUGCCCCUCUUUAUUCACUCUUAAAACACUCCUAAAAAGCUCAUCGUUUCAUUGUAAUGUCAUCUGACAUUUUCUACUCCUUUCCUCAGCCAAAAGAAUAGUCUUCUGAGAGUCCUUGGUCUAUCUUUUCCAUUCCUUGUUCAUGUCCCAUGUUUUGAUCAGGCUCUUUUCAAAUCAGAACCCACUGGAGAGUCGAUUCCCUGGGUAAUGACAUUAUUUUAUUUAGAUGCUCCCUCUUUUCUAUUUGGAUCAGUUUUCGACCUACUGUUAGAACACCUUCCUGGGAUUCUUGUAGGCCUGCUGUCCCGUCCCCUAAACUGGGCCUUCACCGCAUGGUACACAGAGCCUCAUGCAGCCUAUAACUGCAUGGCAGCAUAUCCUGGUUCUGCACAUCCCCUUACAGCCUCACACAAGUCCUUUGGACUGAUCCCAGAGCUGUGUUGUAGCUUCAGUUGGCCUUGCUUGACUUUCUGUGCUCCUUCCAAGAAUAUCUCCCACCCAAUCCAGUCAAGCUCCUAGUCCCUCACCUCAGAACUGGCCCUGAGAGGCAGGUCCCCCUCCAGGCUCCUCUAAAUACAGACUAGGCCCCUGCCACCCUUUCGGGCCCCCAUCAUGGAGGCUUCCUCUUUUCUCUGAACAUUUUGAGAUCUCUAUGGUGAAGUCUGAAACAGCACGAUUGCUUUCACCGAAGUGUCCCCUUUAGUCAGAGUAACCUCAGAGUAGCAAUUUUUCAAACUAAUUGUGUCUACGUUUUGGAUUCUGAGACAUGAAACUAUCCAUUACACAAAAGUAGAACCUAUCAGCCUAUACUUACAGGAGAACUAAACUUUUUUGAGAUGCCUUGAUAAUUAAACAUUCUAUUUUUUGCCAAACUCCUCUUCCUGCGACGGAUUGCCUCUCUCGCUUAAAGACACUACCAUCUAGUCAAACAGGUCUUCUAGAUUGUCAAGAGUCUUCAGAAGGCAUCUCCAUUUGUCCACAGCUGUUGGAGAACAUGGCAGACAGUGGAAGAAGGAAGUUAUAUCAGCCAACCAUUUCUCUUUGUAUUCCACUAAUGUUUAAAUCUCACUGAACAUCAGAACAUCUUGAAAAUACAAUUGCUUAAAAGGUAUAGAGACACAGAAACAACCUAACACUAAUAAGAAUGGUAUAAUAA